GUCAACGUCUCGCUCCUGCUUUUAACUUGGCGGUUUCAAACGCCUAUAAACAUGAUUAGCGUCUACAUUUAGAGCUUUAUCCUCAUAGAAUAAAUGUUUCUACAACGUGUUGUCCUCUUACGGACUGCUCACCGAAGAACAACCUAAUGAUGUCCUCGAGCCAGACACGGAGACACUGACUGCUCACCAACGAACGACCUAAUGAUGUCCUCGAGCCAGACACGGAGACACUGACUGCUCAACAAAG